CUUCAGCGAGCCGAGGUGCAGCGGCCGGUCGGUGUCCCGGUCGCGGCCUUAGGUGGCGAGCAGCGCCUGCGCCUC
rnacentral:antisense_RNA from 1 species